rnacentral:rRNA from 1 species
GGGCAGCAGUUAGGAAUAAUCUACAAUGCGCGCAAGCGUGAUAGUUUGAACCAGAGUGUUUUUCAAAUUGGAAAACUUUUGUGAAAUGUAAAAAGUUUCACGAAUAAGGACUGGGUAAGACGAGUGCCAGCCGCCGCGGUAAUACUCGCGGUCCAAGUCGCAGCCACAAUUAUUGGGUCUAAAACAUCCGUAGCUUGCUCUGUAAGUCUCUUGUGAAACUUCAUAUCUUAAGUAUGGAACGUGCAAGAGGUACUGCAAAGCUAGAGACUGGUAGACGUAGGAAGUACGUUCGAAGUAGCGGUAAAAUGUGUUAAUCUCGAACGGACUCACAAUAGCGAAGGCAUCCUACGAGAACAGUUCUGACAGUAAGGGAUGAAGGCUAGGGGCGCAAAACGGAUUAGAUACCCCGGUAGUC